ensembl:miRNA
AAUGCUCUGACUUUAUUGCACUACUGUACUUUACAGCUAGCAGUGCAAUAGUAUUGUCAAAGCAUC